UCGGGAAUUUUGGGCAAUGGGCGAAAGCCUGACCCAGCAACGCCGCGUGAAGGAUGAAGUAUUUCGGUAUGUAAACUUCGAAAGAAUAGGAAGAAUAAAUGACGGUACUAUUUAUAAGGUCCGACUAACUACGUGCCAGCAGCCGCGGUAAUACGUAGGGACCAAGCGUUGUUCGGAUUUACUGGGCGUAAAGGGCGCGUAGGCGGCAAUUCAAGUCAUCUGUGAAAUCUCCGGGCUUAACUCGGAACGGUCAGAUGAUACUGCUUUGCUAGAGUGCAGAAGGGGCAAUCGGAAUUCUUGGUGUAGCGGUGAAAUGCGUAGAUAUCAAGAGGAACACCUGAGGUGAAGACGGGUUGCUGGGCUGACACUGACGCUGAGGCGCGAAAGCCAGGGGAGCAAACGGGAUUAGAUACCCAAGUAGUCCCUGAGCGGGCUGGCAAGGCGCAU
rnacentral:rRNA from 1 species